GAUGAACGCUGGCGGCGUGCCUAAUACAUGCAAGUCGAGCGAACAGAUGAGGAGCUUGCUCCUCUGACGUUAGCGGCGGACGGGUGAGUAACACGUGGAUAACCUACCUAUAAGACUGGGAUAACUUCGGGAAACCAGCUAAUACCGGAUAAUAUAUUGAACCGCAUGGUUCAAUAGUGAAAGACGGUUUUGCUGUCACUUAUAGAUGGAUCCGCGCCGCAUUAGCUAGUUGGUAAGGUAACGGCUUACCAAGGCAACGAUGCGUAGCCGACCUGAGAGGGUGAUCGGCCACACUGGAGCUGAGACACGGUCCAGACUCCUACGGGAGGCAGCAGUAGGGAAUCUUCCGCAAAGGGCGAAAGCCUGACGGAGCAACGCCGCGUGAGUGAUGAAGGUCUUCGGAUCGUAAAACUCUGUUAUUAGGGAAGAACAAAUGUGUAAGUAACUAUGCACGUCUUGACGGUACCUAAUCAGAAAGCCACGGCUAACUACGUG
rnacentral:rRNA from 1 species